rnacentral:rRNA from 1 species
GAUGAACGCUGGCGGCAGGCCUAACACAAGCAAGUCGAACGGUAGCACAGAGAGCUUGCUCUCGGGUGACGAGUGGCGGACGGGUGAGUAAUGUCUGGGAAACUGCCCGAUGGAGGGGGAUAACUACUGGAAACGGUAGCUAAUACCGCAUAACGUCGCAAGACCAAAGUGGGGGACCUUCGGGCCUCACACCAUCGGAUGUGCCCAGAUGGGAUUAGCUAGUAGGUGGGAUAAUGGCUCACCUAGGCGACGAUCCCUAGCUGGUCUGAGAGGAUGACCAGCCACACUGGAACUGAGACACGGUCCAGACUCCUACGGGAGGCAGCAGUGGGGAAUAUUGCACAAUGGGCGCAAGCCUGAUGCAGCCAUGCCGCGUGUAUGAAGAAGGCCUUCGGGUUGUAAAGUACUUUCAGCGGGGAGGAAGGCGGUGAAGUUAAUAGCUUCACCGAUUGACGUUACCCGCAGAAGAAGCACCGGCUAACUACGUGCCAGCAGCCGCAGUAA